rnacentral:lncRNA from 1 species
CAGGUGUACAGUUAUAGACUUACGUUGAUCAGACAGGUCCCAGACAGGCCCCACUGGGCCACGUUCAGGUGUACAGUUAUAGACUGACGUUGAUCAGACAGGUCCCAGACAGGCCCCACUGGGCCACGUUCAGGUGUACAGUUAUAGACUUACGUUGAUCAGACAGGUCCCAGACAGGCCCCACUGGGCCUCCUCCACCUCCUUCACCGUCAUGUUUCUAUACAGGCCCGGGCUGUGGCCGUACAUGGAGGUAAAAUAGGCACACAGGAAUCCGUAAAACCGGUUCUGGUUCCUCUGUGUCCUCGUUUCUUCCGAGAUUUCUGUUGGAUAAUGAGAAUAAAAACAGGAUAGCUUCCAUAAUGUCCUGUAAACAUCUAUAAUAAUAACAGACAGCUUCCAUAAUGUCCUGUAAACAUCUAUAAUAAUAACAGACAGCUUCCAUAAUGUCCUGUAAACAUCUAUAAUAAUAACAGACAGCUUCCAUAAUGUCCUGUAAACAUCUAUAAUAAUAACAGACAGCUUCCAUAAUGUCCUGUAUACAUCUAUAAUAAUAACAGACAGCUUCCAUAAUGUCCUGUAAACAUCUAUAAUAAUAACAGACAGCAUAAUGUCCUGUAAACAUCUAUAAUAAUAACAGACAGCUUCCAUAAUGUCCUGUAUACAUCUAUAAUAAUAACAGACAGCUUCCAUAAUGUCCUGUAAACAUCUAUAAUAAUAACAGACAGCAUAAUGUCCUGUAAACAUCUAUAAUAAUAACAGACAGCUUCCAUAAUGUCCUUUAAACAUCUAUAAUAAUAACAGACA